CCUACGGGAGGCAGCAGUGAGGAAUAUUGGUCAAUGGCCGCAGGGCUGAACCAGCCAAGUCGCGUGAGGGAUGACGGUCCUAUGGAUUGUAAACCUCUUUUGUCAGGGAGCAAAGCGCGCCACGUGUGGCGCUUUGCGAGUACCUGAUGAAAAAGCAUCGGCUAACUCCGUGCCAGCAGCCGCGGUAAUACGGAGGAUCCGAGCGUUAUCCGGAUUUAUUGGGUUUAAAGGGGGCGUAGGCGGAAUGUUAAGUCAGUGGGAAAAUUUGGGGGCUCAACCCCGUCGUGCCGUUGAUACUGGCAUUCUUGAGUGAACGAGAGGUAUGCGGAAUGCGUGGUGUAGCGGUGAAAUGCAUAGAUAUCACGCAGAACUCCGAUUGCGAAGGCAGCAUACCGGCGCUCAACUGACGCUCAUGCACGAAAGCGUGGGUAUCGAACAGGAUUAGAUACCCCAGUAGUC
rnacentral:rRNA from 1 species